rnacentral:rRNA from 1 species
GGACUACUGGGGUAUCUAAUCCUGUUUGAUCCCCACGCUUUCGUGCCUCAGCGUCAGUUACAGUUUUGUGAGCUGCCUUCGCGAUCGGUGUUCUGUGCCAUAUCUAAGUAUUUCACCACUACAUGGCACAUUCCGCCCACAUCAAAUGUACUCAAGAUCGACAGUAUCAAUGGCAGUUCUGCAGUUAAGCCGCAGGCUUUCACCACUGACUUAUCGUUCCGCCUACGCACCCUUUAAACCCAAUGAAUCCGGAUAACGCUCGGGUCCUUCGUAUUACCGCGGCUGCUGGCAC